GAGCCAUUGUGAGUCACUGUGACACCUCUGGGCUUAGCCAGUCAGGCCCUGGGGCUCAGGGCAGGAAGGAUAAGACAAGGAGGAGAAGAAUCCUCUCUCUCACUCCUUGACCUCUCUUCCAGACGUUCCUGAAGCGAGCUCGGUGGUCUGAGAGGGAACAAGGCAGAUAAAGCGAUCUCUGAGGACUACCCUGGAAACAGGAGUGGUGCUCCUUCGUGAAGCCGUCUGUGGCGUCAGCGAGUCAUGGAGAAAGAAAAGCCUGAAGUGAAACCCAGCACACCCGCACCCAGCGACGAGGAGAAGACAACUAGACCCUCAAGACGCCCCAGGCCUUCCCAAAAUAUCCUGUGCUUUUUACUGAAUAGGCAGCUGGGGAGGCACAGAAGUGACGUGGACCUGUCCAUGUGGGUGUGGAUGCUGGACUGAGCCACGCCCCGCUGCAGGUGGCCCCUUCCAAACAACCAUGGGUCUUGCCUGCUCACCCCCACCCCCACCCCCACCUCUUGAAAAUGGGAAAGAAAAAUUGAUUUAAAAUAACAAACACCUCUCUCGUGUCAGCUCUUGAAAUAAAAGCUGCGUUUUCCUC